CAUUCUCAGUAGUCAUUGUCCUGAUAUCUGUUAAAUAUUCUGCUACUUUUUCUGAAUGACCACAGAAAGAAGUCUAAAGUUGUAUGUUUACUGGAAAUUGUAUAAAUUAUGUGAAUUAUUAGUCAUACAAAAAUAUUAUUUCUAUAAAACAAGGAAGAACAUAUGUUUCCUAUUUGACGUAAAACACAGUCGUCUUACAAAGAGACAGAAAACAGUGAAUUCCAAGCAACAGAAGAAAUAGUAAUCCAGAAUAGUUUUAAAGUGUAUUGCCACAGCCUAUGCCAGUCACUGAAGAUGUUUUCUACUCCUUCCUCCACCUGUUUGGUUUCUUCAUACAAAACCACACUGUGCAAGAAGAGGGAUUUUAUAUCAGGACUUGAUUGAUAACUCAAUACUGAUCUUCCAAACUUCUGUUAGUACUUGGGGAACUCCAAAAUCUCUCUUUACCUACAGUCAAGUGUAAGAAGAGAAGCUGGAGGGAAAAGUGCCAUUCUGAGCAGUUUCUCUCAAAAUACUGCAGUGUACAGCACAGGAGAGCGGUGGCAAAAGUUUUUAUUUCAUGGACUAAGUGCAUUUUUCUUGCUUACUCUGGAAGGUACACGGUAGGCAGUUCCCCUCUGCAUGAUGUCAGCAGGGAGGGCCUGGUGCUGUGCAGCAUCCUGAGGAGUUCUCCUGACCCAGUCCCAAAUGCCUUGUACACCAACGCCUGUUGCUUCCUGGACUUGGCAUGCAUAUCCCAGAGAAUCCCAUCCGCUUUCGUUACACCAUCAGUAUUCACUCAGAUGAUGGCUUCAGACCUCACCUAUCUCAAAGACAUUGAAUUUUUCCGUAGUUCACCUUUUUACAAUGUGUGGCUCAAGGUUUCUUACCAAUGUUGGUAGAAUUUCAUACUGCCAAAGAUAAAGUGAAUGUUUCAAGGACCAUCCUCUGUGAGCUGUUCACGGUGUUCAGACCUGGCAAACUGCUUGGACCAUCAAGUAUUAGUGGGCCUGAUUUUGUGUCUGCCUCCACUCCUAUUCCCCUACACUGCUAAAAGCUAAAAGUUUUGGUGCAACUAGUACCCACCAACACUGUACAUCCCUCCUGCCAACUUCAUCUUCACGAUGAUUGAGUUCCCUGCCAUAUACCUGAGGGAUGGAAAAAAAGGGGACAUCUGGGGCAAAUCACUCUGCUUUACUGCUGAGCUAGCACUGACCAUGGAGAUAACACUAAAUGUGAAACCCAAAAAAUGUCUUGCAAUCAAGACCAUAAUUUUUUGUGUUUCCCUCAGUCUGCUGUCCUCCAGUUAUAAGCAAGUGAAGUCUGCAAAAUAUUUCACCAAUACUUCACCCUCUUCUGAUACUGAUCAAGGGGAAGUUUUUUGGCCUUAAUUUAAAUCAGGCCUUUAGAGCAAAGAAGUGGUUUGUUAACUUGAGGAAUGUUCCAGUUUCUAAGCAUGAUUGAUUUUGGCAGGGCUCACGUAGAGUAGUCAAUAUAAUGAUAAACUGUCAGCUGUUAUGGAGCUGUGAAUCAAAUGUUCUGCUGAGGAACUGAAGGUCUGCCCCUUGAAAAGGUUAUCGUCUUGCAUAGUCCACAGUUUUUCUUUUUUUUUUUCAGGAAAAUGACUUCACUUGUAUAACUGUCAAAGGUUUAAUAUAUAGGCUGUAAAAAUGAAACAUUUUCUGCAUUAAUUAGCCUAAAGCAGAAAGAAAAUAUUUUUGCCAUUAUAGCAGUUCCCCAUUGUUAGCCAUAUUUCAACAUAACUCAAAGCUUGAGCAGUGUUCAAAGUUGGUUUUUUGGGGGCUGAGAAAAAGUACAACUGUUUUAAAGAAUCUCACGUAAACCACAUAGUAUUAUUUCUCUGGCUCAGUGAUCCAGUUUUUACUGUUUUAUAUUUAGGUGGACAGUAGAUACACUCAAAACUCUUUUGGCAAGAGAAGAGCUAAUGUGUGGGGGGUACACUGUAAAAUUUCACUGGAUGGAUGGAUCUUUUUUCUUACAUUACAACUAUGAUUUCAAUUAUUAUUCAAAAUUAUUGCUGUGUUUUAUAAACACAGAAAUGGACAGGGUUAUUGACACACAAAUUCAGUUUAUUUAUUCUUAUUUUAAGUGAAUCUCUUGGGAAUUGUCAUAUAUAAACACAAAAAAGACCUCAAUCAAUGCAAGUUCAUCUGAAAUGCUUUUAUUUCUGAAAUUAAAUAAUGCUUGUCAUCCCUCUUUAUGUCAUUUUCUUUUCAGUUGUAUGAACAGAUAAGCUGCACUGCAAUGUUCCAAGUUU